GCUAGAAGUGGAGGUGUGGCUCAAGUGGUAGAGUAUACGCCUCAAGAGAAAAGGCUAAGAGAGUAUACAAAGCGCAGAGUUCAAGCCUCAAUUCUUGCCUCUCUUCCCUUAAAAAAAAAAAAAAGAAGGAAGAAUUACUACUCAGAAACUAAAAAUAAUUCAUCUUGGUACAGGAAGAGAGAGUGAUGAUGGCGGAUUAGAUUUCCCAAGGAUUAUAGUUUAAGGCAGGGGUUCCAUCUUCUAAAUAUGGUUACAUCUGUAUUGUGAACUGUGGAUCAGAGGAGAAUAAGGAGUCAUGCAAAGACAGCAGUUGGAAAGUAGUCCUCUAAGACUGGAAAGGAUGAUGGUAGCCUAUUUUGAAAGAAUGGAAACAAUGUUUGGCCAGGCAGAACAAAUAAGAGGUUUUUGUUGUUACCCUGUUUUCUUGAGGUAGGGUCUCUCUAGGUAGCCUAAGCCUACAUCAGACUUGCUAUAUAGCCCAGGCUGAUCUUGAAUAUGAAAAGCUCCUGUCUUAGAUUCUGAGUACUAAGAUUAGAGCCAUGUGCUAACAUGCUCAGGUCUGUUUUUUCCUAAUGCUAUUACUGGUAUGGAAAAAUGUUUAAAGUACCUUAAUCAGGAAAAUCAAGAUUUUUUUUCUGAUACAUAUAUAUAUAUAUACUUUGAUAUUAUUUUUAAGAAAAAAUGAAUGUAACAUACAUGCUUGGGCGCACUGAGUUGAGUUUGGAGGGAUAAAUAACACAUUUUAAAUAGUGAGUCUCCCUACGGAAAUCACCCGAGGGGCUAGAGCAGAGGCAAGACAACUUAUUUUGCUGUCUAAUCAAAAUUAUCUUUCAAAGAUGUGUUAAGGAAAAGCAUAUCCACAAGACAAGGUUUACUGGCUGUUGAUUCUGCUUCAGGCAACUUUACCUGUAGGUUGCUAAUAUUUGAUUGAACACACUGAUAGAAGGGCAGAUUUGUUGAGGAAGAAGAGCUGCUUAGUGUAGACUUGAGGUAACUAUAAACAGUCCAAGUAGAGUGCGCUAAUAAAUGGACAUCCAAGCUGUCCAGGGGAUAGAUCUCAAACCAAAGAUAGGAACUUGCCAAUCACAAGCUGCUGUGUAGUAACCCUGGGAGGCAGCAGGUGAGACUGCCCAAAUGGGAGGGAGGGAGGAAAGAGUUGGAAGACACCCUCCUGGGUUUGCCCCUAGUGUUUAACAGUGUGUCUUCCUUAUCAACAUAUAUAACUACAACAUCAAAUCUUAUUUUUCACUGCAUAGCUCCUCUAGUUAUAAUGUGGAUUAUUUACAUAGAGGUGAAGAAUUUGUCAGGAAUAAAAGAGAGAUCAUUCUCUAGCAUAUGUGAGAUUUAAUUAGUUUUCAAAUGAUGAGGGGGGGAUGGGCAGAGUGUCCUGCUGAAUGGUUUGGGAUGCCUUACUUAACAGAUUUAUGUUGGAAUUGAACUUUGCAACUUAGGGUGGGGGCCCAUGAGGUGGGAUUUGUAAAAAAAAUGAGGGAAGGAUAACACUGUUCA